UACGAAGGUGGCAAGCGUUGUUCGGAUUAACUGGGCGUAAAGCGUACGUAGGCGGUUUGACAAGUCAGAAGUGAAAUCCCAAGGCUCAACCUUGGAAUUGCUUUUGAAACUGUCUUACUUGAAUCCGGUAGGGGUUGGCGGAAUUCUCAGUGUAGAGGUGAAAUUCGCAGAUAUUGAGAGGAACACCAGUGGCGUAAGCGGCCAACUGGACCGGUAUUGACGCUGAGGUACGAAAGCGUGGGUAGCAAACAGG
rnacentral:rRNA from 1 species